rnacentral:rRNA from 1 species
CCUACGGGUGGCAGCAGUGAGGAAUAUUGGUCAAUGGGCGCGAGCCUGAACCAGCCAAGUAGCGUGAAGGAUGACUGCCCUACGGGUUGUAAACUUCUUUUAUCAAGGAAUAAAGUGAGGCACGUGUGCCUUUUUGUAUGUACUUUAUGAAUAAGGCUCGGCUAACUCCUUGCCAGCCGCCGCGGUAAUAAGGAGGAUCCGAGGGGUAGCCGGAUUUAUUGGGUUUAAAGGGAGCGUAGAUGGGUUGUGAAGUAAGUUGUGAAAGUUUGGGGCUCAACCGUAAAAUUGCAAUUGAUACUGGCAGCCUUGAGUACAGUUGAGGUAGGCGGAAUGCGUGGUGUAGCGGUGAAAUGCUUAGAUAUCACGAAGAACUCCGAUUGCGAAGGCAGCCUACCAAACUGCCACUGACAUUGAUGCUCGAAAGUGUGGGUAUCAAACAGGAUUAGAUACCCGGGUAGUC